rnacentral:lncRNA from 1 species
UCCGCCAGAGCCUCCUCUUCAGCGGGCUCCUGUGCCCCGUCUUCCGCAUUCGCACGCCCGGUCGCAUCGACCCCGUGCGCGACUCUUCGUGACCCGUCUGCUCCCGCGACGUGGUCCUGUGGUAUCUUACGGACUUCGACUACGUAUAUCGGCGGCUACCAGCGCCUGGACGGCAACAACGAGCCUCGCGAGCCCCUCGGCUGAGCUCAUCGCCACCUACCGAGACCUCCCGACAGCUCUCUCCAGGCUGUGGCCUAUUCCCUGGAUUCUGCUUCCCCCUUGGUUUAUCUACAAAUCAAGACUACUCUGAGACUUCCCUGACGACCCCAACGUGAAGACCGGCUUGCGAGCAUCGAUUCGUCGCCGACUGCACUGGGUCAAGACCCUGAGUUGUUCAAGACCUCCAAUAAGACCUCUGGUUGGCUCUUGAGCUCUGUUUGGUAACAACUGACUGCAUACUGAGAUUCCGGUUCCAUUACGGUUGCAAGGCUCGCUUGACUCUAGGCUUGCAGCAGCCGCAUUGUACCUAUUGUUUGGGAGAAGGCAGCUGAGUGAGACAGCUCCCAAAGCGCCCGUUGCUCGGACUCGUACCCCGGCUUGACACACGUGUCGUUGCCCGCAGGGAGUCCGCUUCGGCGCAUUCUCCAACAGGUCCUGCGCGACCUCGGCCCUCACGGCCCGGCGCCAGCGCCUUUAUACAUAUCUGACCGCCAACGACGAUUCAGUGGAGUAACAAGGCCUUCAAGACCUGGUUUAUUGGGUGUACCGUCUGACAUCAACGGCGGGCAUCACCAACGUAUUCAAGUUCAAGCGCAUCCCCCCCUUGCGACGCACGAAACAGCCGCAGGCGUCGUCAUACGACUGUUGCUGGGAGAAGCUCCGUUGUAGUCGGCCCCAACACAUCGCGCUGCAAAAGGUGUCCGCCCAGCAGGACGUGGCCGGCCCGCGCAGAGUAGCGACAGGGCUGCGUGGGCUGCGUGGCGCUGUGGACGGGCGGGGCACACACACGAAACACACGCUUGCCGAUCCCGCGGUUGAGGGUCAAUGCCUUUCAGCCUAUACGCAAUAUGCAAAAUGGAUUUGUGCAUGCUCAUAUUUACAUAUGCACCCAGCCUGCGCUGCUGGCCUCAGCUUUGCGGCACCUCCGCGAGUGCCGGCAUGAUCAUGUGUUGCUCGCGCGAGCACAGCAAGCAAACGUCUCAAGUGCACCAAUGGUGCACUGAACGAGUUUAAGCCAACUAUAAUGAAACUCGCGCGCGUAGUAGUGCCAUGUGAUGGAUCGAAUAGCUAUAGUGUUCAAGAAGUCGUUAUGCUGACAGAGCGUAGAAAAAGAAGAGUUGUGUGCGAGUGCCACACGUACACACACGCACGCAUGCCGUCGAACCAACCCCAUGUCGAUGCCACCUGGCCUGGGGCUGCUCUGUUUACAUCGCUAGAACACUUUGCAAGAUCGCGAGCCCCUAUCUGUGCUGGGCUGGUAGAGCCGGGUGGGGUGUCGGCACAUUCAGGAUUGCCAAAGUGGGGGCGGUUCGGCAAGCCCGGAUUGCCAUCGACUUCCUCAUCGACUUCUCUUCGUCGUCGUCAAGAUCUAUAUCUACAAGCUUGAGUAUUUGACUACAACUACAGCCCGAGACCUAUUUCGUGACUACGUAUUUUCUGCCAAACUCAUCGGCAAAUACUUCUGCUUCCAGUUUUGAGCGAUUCCUCUUUGUCCACAACAUCGUGUGGACUCUGGAAGUGCUCAUACAUUUACAGUGAGACUCUUACCGACUCCUGAGCAUCUGCGACCUUUGGCCUUUCUGUCCUUGACGCGUCCAACGGCGUUCCUUUGAGUACUUUCUGGUUCAACAACGUCGUCUUUGACUACAAUAUACCAAGUGAUACUACUGGUGCACCCAGCCUAAACACACACACAUCCGCAUCGGUUGGUCUUGUGUUAGGCGGUCACAGCCCUACCGCUACCACGGCAACCCUGUCUCUACAGCCGUCCGGUAGUCCCUUCGUUUCCCCAGAUCCUCUGGUGGGUCCCCCUGACCCAAGCGGCACCCCGACCAAGUCGUCGGCCGCCAACCGGCCCCGCCCGGGGCCGGCCAUCCCCUCCACUCCUCCUCCAUCUUCGGGCCUUCCCCCCGUCGACAUGGCCUCACUGCUGACCGACGCGAUCGCCAGUCUUGGCCGGUGGCAGGCCUUUCGCAGCUAUGACGGAGAAUCCAGCACCCACGAGUGGCUGGAAGACCUCGAAGAGACCAUGGACAAGAUGGGCUAUCGGCAGAGCAGCUUCGUCGAGCGUGCCUCAGAGAAGUUGCAAGGCGAGGCCAAGUCCUGGUACCGCUGGUGGCGUGAGUACGACCAGCCGGGCCCACUGUCGUGGGAGGAUUUCAAGGCCACCUUCCUGGACGAGUUUGGCCUAUCGACGUCAGACUGGGAGGAGCGCCUGGUCACCUGCCAGCAAUGCCUGCAGGAGCCCACCCAGGCGUACUCCAACCGCUUCACCACCUACGCCCGGCGCGCCAACCGCAUGAACGACCCCUCCCUGGUCACUGUCUACGUCCGCGGCCUCAAGAAGUCCCUCUCCGAGGCCCUGGACCUGUUCGGACGGCGCACCCCUACCUCCACGCUCAAGGAGGCGAUGCGUGCGGCAGCCAACCUCAGCCGCUGCAACUGGCGCGCGCUGCUGGCUGACGAAGAACUCCCGCCCGAGCCUGCCGGCCGACGUGUGCGCUUUGAGGACUCACGCACGACCGACCGCCCCCGCUCACCCUGGACUCGCAACGCCGACGUACGCCGUGAGGAGGAGCGACGGUACUCGCGCCCCAGCAGUAACGGCAGUAGCAGUGGCAGUGGCGGCGGCCACCGGGGCGGCAGCAGCACCGCGCCCGUUGGUGGCGGCGGCGGCAACGGAGGCGGCGGCAACCGUGACCGAGACCGCAACGACCGUAACUUACACUGCUGGCGGCAGGCUGGACGAGACCCCGGCCUCCAAGCUGCCACGCCCCCACGGGCCCACUGGCGGGCCAAGCCGACCGCUCUUGCAGCGUCUAGUGACGGCAACGGCGCCUCCACCGCGCCCAGCAGCGGGACUGUCACGGGCGCCUCCGCCCCAGGCGGCGGGGCCUGCGCCCGCAGCGCGUGGUGUGCGAGAGGCGGCGGCACGGCCGCUGCCUGACACCGACCGGCCCCGUCCCGCACCCAACACGAGGGCACCGGGAGCAGGGCCAGCACCAGCACGCGAGGAGCCGCGCGCUGUACCCCUGCGCUCCUCUGCCGCAGCGGCGACGCAACCCCAGCGAGCCCUAACCCCUGACCCCAAGCCCCCGGCACCGCGGGUGCCGCCGCGCACAGACCCUGUGACGCGCACGGAGGAGGCUCAGGUGGCUGAAGACGUCUUUGCCAAGAUUGCGGCUCACUCUAUCACGCUGGCCAAGGCGGCGCAGUGUGACAGCCGCGCUAUCCUGGCCAAGGUGGGCGGCAAGUGCCUGGGCCUCGCUCGCAGUGCCAGCGGCGGCGCCGGCGGCAGCAACACCGGCGUCAAGAGCGGCCUACUUGCCGAAGCCCAACCUGCGGCUCCUGAGCACCGCAGUGACGGCGAGGAAGACAGCCCUGGCCCCAAGCCCCCGCAGAAGGAGUACCAGAUCUGCCGCGUGCGGGCGGCGUGCCUGGACAUCAACGGCAACGAGAAGGAGCAACGCACGUGUGCCGACACUGGCGCUUCCAACUGCGUCAUCGCUCGUCGCGCCGUAUCCGGCCUGGGCCUGCUCAACUACAUUCGCGACACCCGCACCAAGUUCUACCACGCCAACGGCUCUGAGGACCGGGCCAAGGGCAAGGUUAGCGUCACGGUGUGCCUUCCCGGCCUCACGCGGGCUGUGGAGAUGUACGUGUCAGACGCCGAGAACUACGACCUGUUGUUGGGCAACGACUUCCUGGGGCCUCUGCGUGUGGACACGCGCUACAGCAACAUGACCCUGGAGUACGACGACCACUCCGGGCAACGGCGGGCCGUCCCAAUCAAGAUCACCCGCAGCAGUGGGCGUCAGCGCAACGUGCCGUUAGCACGGCUGGACACGCACGCCUACGUGGUGUCCACCACCUCAAGCAACUACAACAGUGGCGCUGAAGAGGCGGCGGCGUGUGAGGAGGCGGGUCCCGACACCACCCCCUCGCCGCUGCAGCCGACGGCGGCAGCCACACCGCCGGCGUUGGGGGCCCACGCCCGGCGGCUGCCACGGCGCCACCACACCGGUGUGCGGCCGACACAGCUGUUCCUGCUGGACGGCAACGGCUCCUCCCCCUCGGCUAUGGCGGUGGACGCACCCACCCCCGAUGCUUCGGACUUGGAGCCGGUUGUGCCAACGGCGGGCAGCGACAAGGACGGCACCAGCAGCACCCAGGCUGAGCUACCACCCGCCAACAUGGAGACCACCAGUGAGCCCGCCACCGGUGGCGCCGGAGAAGUCUUGGGGGUUGGUGAUACCGUGUGCUGUGAGCCGCUGUUCCUCAACUCCAAGGAGAUAACCUCUCAAGACCUCACGGGCCUGGUGGCGAUGCUGGCAGACACGCCGCCGAAGGAGGCAGCCCCUACUCCGGCUGCCCCAACGAACAGCCCAAGAGCCAAGGUGGUGCGUCAGCUGUUCAGUUGGCCAGCGGACGAGGCGGCGCCACCCGAAGACGCGAUGUGCUUCUUGGUGGCAGUUACCACCCCAACCGUCCAGCAGGCCAACCCGAGCCACGUCACACUUGCGGAGUGGCUGGACAAGGCACCUGACGUCACCAGCGGGCUGGAGCCAAUCCUGCCCCCAACGGCCACGCCGCUACCCUCUGGCCUGAGCCCACAGGAGAAGCAGCAGCGGUGGUUGCAAGCCUGCACCCCGCCGGCGGAUAUGCCUGUCCGCAUGGUGACCACCGCCAACCCCGCGACGGGUGCCCAACACCCUGUACCAGAGGCUUUCGCAGCAGGAGUCAACGACCUGCCGCUCAAGGAGAUACUGGUGGCCGUGGACGGUCACUUUGGCGGUCUGCUGGUGAGCCCUGAGAAGGAAGGCCUAGUCCCUCUCUCACCAUUCACCGCAACGGACAGCAGCGGCAGCUACCUGUCCAGGGCCGACUCCCCCGGCUCCCCUCCCAGCUACAUGGGCCUGCUGCAAGACGAGGGUGACGACUGGUACGGCGGCGCCACCGGUCUACCCCUGCCACGCGGCAAGCGUGGGCGGAAGGCCUUUGUAUUCGUGGCCGACUGCCACAGCCCACUGUCCGUGUGGAGCGGCAUGUCAGGAGGCGCGGAGUCUCCCCCCCUGAUAUUCACCCAGCUGUCGGAGCUGGACGACGAAUGGGAGGUCCCACCCCUGGCGCCACCGUCCGACGACGAGGACGAGGCGCCCGCACUUAUGGGGGCACAUGAUGAGUACGACCCGGCAGUGGGCUGGAGUCGCGGCGGCAGCUCGCGCUCUCCACCCACCAACCAAAGUCCCUUUGGCGCCAACUUCAGCGGCCGUAGUGGUGGUGCCACCAGUGACGGCAGCGGCGGCGGCAGCCUCAGCAGCCACGCCCACGCCGACCCCAUGGACGCAGCGGUGGUGGAGCUCUUCGUCAUGGACGCUGACGGCUUCCUUCGCCGUCCCUCCCGUGAUGAGGUUCUCUCUCUCCCACCGACAGAGCACCUGCAGCUGGCUCAAGAGUAUGGCCGGCGCCAACGGGAGUUACGCGGCCCGCCAGACCAGGGGUUCGGGGUGUCCAACUCGGCGGUUGCGAUCGGCAACCGCCCGGAUCCGGCCUGUCUCGGACCCUGGAAGUGGGCCCCGCGCAAGCCUGCCAGCGCAGUCUAAUAGCGGACACAUAGAAAAAUAGUCCUGACGUGUCGGGUGGCUAAAAUGUGUGCUUCUAUAUAUUGCCGAUAGUAGAAUCAGCAUGUGCUCAACGUCGCUGCCAUACGCAGCCUGAAGCGAUUCCUAUGCCAUGAUAUUGCAAUUGUUGCUGCGACAAGGCACCUGGAGUCGGCUUGCCGUGGGCAGGGUCGCCACAAGGGGCCAAAAACACCGGCCAUGCUGGCAAUUUUGGGUCGUUUCCCAGAAACGAAGCAAGCAGAACUGUUUCGUCAUGUCCCUGGGGACAAAUACCUGGUACUGUCCCCUUUUAUGUUUCUAGCUCGAGCGACCAGCUAAAUCCAAGCCUACAUGGCCUCAAGCUGCGCCGCUCAAGCACCAAACGAGCGCGCCCGGGGCUUGCUCGCUCUCUGUCCUUCACGCGGUUACUAUAUAUGUCAAAUGAGCUUCUUUCGGCUGCUCGCACUCGUUGUCGACGCCCCUAAAGAGCUGAUCCCAACUCCCGAAACCCGCGCGCAGCUGGUGUAGACGUGAUCGUUGCAGCAUUGGCAGGCUCUCAUGCGCAAGCUAUUUGUUAUGCCAUAAUCCGUGUUCCUACGGGCCUCAUUACUCAAAAAUCCGCUUGGAUGCAGUCGCCCAACUUCAUACUCCCACUCCGAGACUGGUUAAUGUCAUUUAGAUAUCAUUUACGCGUUUGUCUACGCAUGAGAGGACAACCAAAACCAACAGAACGAAAGAAAGCUUCAGGUGUUGGUGAACAUGGUGCGCGCGCGAUCGGCAUUUGGCGAUCGGCGUUUGUGUGCCUUUUUAAUCGGCCGAGAUGUUCUAUGCCUGAAUCAUGGCUACAUAAGAUGCUGCGCACUCUACAGCGUUUCAGAAACGUCAGGAGACCCUCUAUCGAUGUCGACUCUUCCUCGCAAACCACGAUAAUGUAUUUCUGAGCCCAUAGAAACCAGCUAUAUGUAUACACAUGUUCGUUUGCCGAUUGUUAGCGUCAAAAAGAGCCCUUCAAGGGAAGAACCUGCUGCGCGCGCCUGUCCGAACGCGCAUUCGCGCUCUACUGUGCUCUGCGCAGGUCCCCAACCAGCGCGCAUGGACCCAGGCGUACAGUUAUCAUACUUGGGGGGAAUGAGCAUGCGCGGGGUCCAGGGGACGCGGUUUCAAGGCUUCAUGCCUGCCCGCGAAGUGCUAAUUCGAGAGCAUCCGUCUUGACUCCUGUCAACGUGUCAGGGGAGCUUAAGGAUAUCAUACCUAUAGGUUUCAAGCUUAGUCGCACGAGGGAAGCCACUUCCAGGGGGGGUCGGGGCCAAAUGUCGGUGGCAACCGACAGCUAACCGCCGAGUUGGACACCCCGAACCCCUGCGCCAGACCCCAACGACGCGCGAGUGCAGACCAUGCGCGAGCGGUGGACCUGCGACGGCACCGAGCUGUCACCAGAGCUGCAGCAAGUGUUGCUGGACAACUACGACCUCUUUGCUCUGGACGACUCACAGCUUGGCCGUACGGACUGGGUCGAGGCCGCUAUUGACACCGGCGACGCGCCGCCGGUGUGCCUCAACCCCUACCGUCACAGCCGUGUGGAGACCGAGGCCAUGGAGGCCGAGGUGCGGCGCAUGCUGGGCGCUGGCAUCAUCCGCCACAGCAACUCUGCCUGGUCCUCCCCCGUGGUGAUGGUGCGUAAGAGUGACGGCACGCACCGCUUCUGCGUGGACCUGCGCGGUGUCAACAACGUCACGCAGCCGGUGCGCUUCCCCAUGCCACACGUGCGUGACCUCAUCGACACGCUGGCACCGCCCCUGGGCGAGCAGCGCGUCUACUCCUGCAUGGACCUCAAGAGCGGCUUCUGGCAAGUGGGCGUGCAGGAGACAGACCGCUGCAAGCUGGCCUUCCAGGCUCCCAGCGGCCUGUACGAGUUCUGCGUGCUGCCCAUGGGUGCCCGCGCCUCACCCGCUCUCUUCCAGCGCCUUAUGACCCUGGUGCUGCGGCCGGUGCUGGCUUCUGGGGCGGGCCUGGGCUACCACCCCACGCCGACCGAGGAGACGCCACGCAAGUGCUGCGUGCUGUUCAUCGACGACAUCUGCAUCUGGUCACCGUCGCAGCAGGAGCACGCCGCGGACGUGCUGACGGUGCUGGACCUGCUGCGCCUGGCCGGCCUGGUGCUGUCGCUCAACAAGUGCAAGUUCGGCACGCCCAAGUGCCAGUUUCUGGGCCACGUGGUGGACGGCGUGAUCGGCCACAUCACCCCCUCUCCCGACAACGUGGAGGCCAUCCGGUCCUACCCCAAGCUUCGCACCGUGCGUCAGGUCAAGGCCUUCCUCGGCCUCACCUACUACCGUGAGCAGGUGGACCACUUUGCCAACGUGGCGCUGCCGCUCUACCAGUGCCUGGGCAAGAUGGGCUUCCACUGGGGUGAGCGCCAGGCUGCGGCGUUUGAGGCGCUGAAGGAGGCUAUCACGAGCUUCCCCAUCCUGCGCGCACCCGACUUCACGCGCCCCUUCACGCUGGCUACUGACUUCGCCAAGACAGCGGUGGCGGCGUGCCUGUCUUAGCACGACGAGGACGGGCGUGAGUACGUGGUGAGCUUUGCCUCCAAGAAGCUCAACGACACGCAGGCCAACUGGAGCUCCACGGACGGCGAGGCCUUUGCGGCCAUGUGGGCUAUUACCAAGGUCUACCACGCCUACCUGUACGGCACCCACUUCACCUGGUGACCGACAACUCGGCGCUCACUUACAUCAUGAAGACCAAGGACCUGACGGGCAAGCUCGCCCGCUACGCGCUCAAGCUUGCGCCCUACACGUUCACCAUUGUGCACCGGGCAGGACGCAAGAACGGCAACGCCGACGGGCUGAGCCGGCUGGGGCACCUGCGGGACGCUCCCUCUGACGAGGAAGACGAGGACAGCCCACAGCGGAAGCCCAAGCGCCCAGCGGCGGCGACGGCCAUCGACCUGGAGUCCCUCGCCGACGCCUUUGAGGCGGAGACGCUGCUGUUCACGGCGGGUUCCACGUCUCCCCCGCGCUACGCUGAGGUGUGCGUGCUCGAGCGGCUACCUUCGCUGACCGACGGUAUCGGCGGCGAGCUGUUCGAGGACGAGUGGGACGGCUGGCCGGCGUCGUGGCGCGAGCGGCUGGGAGAGGUGGAGGUUGACGGCCCCGCAUCACAGCAACUCCCCGCCACGCCGCCCACGUCCCUGGCCGCCAUGGACGGCAGCACCAGCGCCCCCAACCCCAUGGUGGCGUUCAACCUUCCCGGUGAGCAGGACGCUGAGAGCAGCCACACUCCGGGGCCAGGGGCAGCAACCGCAAAGGGCGUCGCUUCACCACCACCAGUUGGCGGCGGCGGCGGCUACGGCGGCGGCAAAAGCAGCGGCGGCAACGUGAGCAGCGACAACGCAGUCACGCCCACCCUGACCAUUCAACCGCUGACCCUACUCAGCUCCACUGAGCUUUCAACUGACCACUGGUGGCGGCAGUGGUGGGGUCUGCCGAAGGCCUCUCCGUCUACCGACAGCGCUGACGGCGCCACCACCAGUACCGCCAGCGGUGACCCGGUCCACCUGAACAUGGUGGAGGCCGGCGCAUCCGGUGGCGACGAGGAGCGACCCACCAGCCGGCGCCGCCCUCUCUCCAGCUUGGCGAGCCCAGCGGCACAGACAGUGCCCGGCAACACAAACCAAGCACCCCCGGUGGCGCUGCCUCCGGCAGCUACAGCAGGUGGCGGCAACGCCGGCGGCGGCAGCGGCGGCAGGCCCCACCGCAACCGCCAACGCCAACCCCGUAGCCUCAACGGCAGUGUUGACGUCGGCCUUCGCAACGGCUGCGGUGCCGACUACGCCUCCGCGCCUUAAGCCCCCACUACCCGGUGCGCCCGCGUCCUCCAAUGCCGGUACCACUGGCAACGCAAGCGCAACAGCAACGGCGGCUCACACCACAACGGCAACCCGCUCGGCGGCUACACCAUCAGCCACGGCAGGUGUGGCGCCAGGCAACACGAGGGCAGACAGCGGUGAAGACAGUGACGCUGAGGAUGACGGCGACGGGGCGGCCUCAGACGAUGACGGAGGUUACGAGUCUGCGGGCAGCGUGCUCGAGAUUGACGGCGUGCCGCAGUUCCACCCCAACGAGUCGCGCGUGUGGCAAGACCACCGACUCCUACAGUUCCUGCGCGCCGAGGCUUCAAACAAAAGUCUGCGGCGGCAGCUUGAGAACCAGGCGGUUGAGACACGCAGCCUGCAACAGCAGAAGCAGUCGCUACAGCAGCAGCUGAGCAACACAGUUCACGCAGAGAACCUCCAACUGAUGCAGCAGGUGCAGAACCUGCAGCAGGAGCUGACCCACACCCGGCAGGAGCUGACGGACGCCGUGAGCGACGGCAAACGGCUGUUCAACGAGACGGAGCCCUACCUCCUCUCCAACGUGCUCAGCCUGCGGCAGCGGCUGACGCGAGCGGAGGCCGCUCCCCUGGCGGCCGCGCUCGCAAAGCUCACCGGCGUGGAGGAGAACCAGGAGGCCAUGCAGCUGGGCGUGUUCAACCCCACGGAGGCCGUGUACAAGAUCAAAGACUCCCAGCAGUGCAUCCACUUCUACCCCACCACCGCCUACCACUUUGAGUCCCUGAGCGCCGUGACCCUGAACGCGGCGGCGGGAGUGCUACAGACGACGGAAGGCAGCCGCUGCUUCGUGCGCAGCGUGGUGGACCACCUGCAGCUCCGCCCGCUGGGUACGGCGGAAUCGCCGGAGGUGGCGGCGGCGGCCGAGGACCUGCGCCUCCUGCAGCGCCAGCUGGCCAACCCCAUGGCCGCUCUGCUACCGGAGGAUGACGAGUACUUCGACAAGGCGACUACCGCGCAAGACAAGCUAGCCAAGCUGACGCAGCGCGCGGCGACCGCCCAGGAGCGCCUGCACCGUGCCACCACCAUCCCUUUCGUGUGCGUGCCCCUGCACGACACAAACACCACGGAGUAAGCGCGGCUGGGGCAGCAGUGAGUACCGAGCAAGGCUGGCUUCAAACACGGGACGGACGGUGCGGGGAGCAUGGGUGUACGGUAUGCUGAGUACGGGGGUGUGGCGGCGCCAGGGUGGCACUUGCGUACGCCACCGCCCACCACGAGGCUUGACGCAGUCCUGUCGGCCCAGUAAGAAUUUAGGUGCCUCCAUAAGAAGUUAAGGCAUGUCGGGUAUGGGUUGUUUUUGGGUUAGGGCGCAGAGGGGCUUACGACACCAGUGCCUGUGGACACGACCGGCACGACGCGCGGCACAACACGCACAAAAAAAUGAUGGGACCUGAGGAGUUGAACGGCGAUCCGACUGCAUCAAGUUAAAGGCUAUACGGUUACAACCAUUUGUGUGAGGUUCGGGCCACAAGGCACCGAUGUACAGUAUGGCAUGAACGCGGGGAGGUGGGGAUCACCGCGUGUGUGACGUUAUACGCAUGGUUACGGCGGGCAACUGGCAGUGUGGCAAGCAUCCUUCGGAAUCAAAAAAAGCAUCCUGCAAGGCACGUUUGACGUAUGGGGAUGCAACGCCAUGACCUGCUAUGUGACUUUGGAGCGGCAAGGAGACGGGCAAGGCAAGGCGCUUGCACGGGUGGUGAACCGAGGGUGGAAGCGCGUGCGUAGCAGCUCCGCGUCGGCUUAGGGGCCGUGCUGGGACUCACGGCUUACACGAGGGCAAGCGACAGCUGUAGCUGCUUCGCGUGUGCCGACGCAUAGCGCUGUCCGGACGCUUAUUGCAUUGCACGUCCGCCCGAGCGCGCUGUGGGCACCUUGACUCCGUAGAGCGGGGCUACGCACGCAUUAUGACGGCUAGGGUACUUGCCGACGGUUGGACCGGAGAGUGAGCUACACUGGUUACGGUGAUCAGAGGCGAUAAGUAUGCAGCCUCAUGCAGUUUGCUCAAGCGGCCAGAGCACGGGAGAGACGUGAAGCUGUGAGGUAAUGCAGCGACGGGGCGUGAACAUGGACCGCCUGCCAAGUGCCUUGCGAGAUGUGGGCACGAGACGAUAUGGUUCUAUAGGACCACAGAGAUGUUAUUGGCCGGUCUGAGCGGCAAUGAGAGAGGCGGCCAGGAGAGACGUCAGCAUCGGUUGCAGACCUCCCCCCCCCCGCCCCUGACAGAACGCGGUCGGCGGUGAACUGGACUGCGCGAGUAUGAUUUGCACAUAAAGCUGUACAUAAAGUGUGGCAUAACGAGGAAAGGGCUGCAGUCUGUCGGCAGCAGCCCGGGCAUGGACUGGCGGUAGCUCGCUGCAUAGGGGACUUGAAUGCUUGAGUCCUACAGCGAUGUCUGAAGACGAUAAGUGGUUAGGGCGAAGCGGUAGGAGCGUUUUCCCCGAGGAGCGCUUGUCGACGCGGAGCCAUUAUGCGGUUCGGCCCUCCGGCUACCCUGGGCGCGGCGACGGUCUUUAGGCCGAAGCCUGUGCCAGUGGUCCGGGAGCCUUGCGCGCUUGCUUUUGUGUGACUUUGCUAGGCGGCAAUAGCGUUUGCAGGCCUAGACUUUGAGGGACGAAUAGAGAACAGGGCGGGUUGAGGGAUGGAGACUGGGCAUUGAUGCUCACACCCUUCCCUAGCUUGCCCCGUGCCCUUGGUGGCCCUGGGGCGUUGUUUGAGCUACGGUGCGCAUUUCCAAAUAGCGACGCAAGCAGGGGGUAGUUCAGGCGCUGCAUGGGGACGCUGCAUGAGGGCAAAGUCUGAGUGGAAGCUGGCCCCUGCACCUUCCAGGCCUAGCUCCCCUGCGCCAAUCGCGAUGGUGGAAGGUGCCCGGGGCAAUAUAGGAGCGCUCCGGAGCGCCAAGAAACUAACCCGCCACUCCUGUGUAAUACGCCACGAGUAAUUGACAAGCACGAACCUUGCUCAUACCGGAAGAACAGUCUCCCAGCCCUCAAGGGCUCUUCUCCCCUGACAGCGGGCCUGUCAGCAAGUUUCCAGCGCCAAGGCGCGACAGUGAUUGAGGCCUAAGGCAAUCCGCCAGAGCCUCCUCUUCAGCGGGCUCCUGUGCCCCGGCUUCCGCAUUCGCACGCCCGGUCGCAUCGACCCCGUGCACGACAGUUCGUGACCCGUCUGCUCCCGCGACGUGGUCCUGUGGUAUCUUACGGACUUCGACUACGUAUAUCGGCGGCUACCAGCGCCUGGACGGCAACAACGAGCCUCGCGAGCCCCUCGGCUGAGCUCAUCGCCACCUACCGAGACCUCCCGACAGCUCUCUCCAGGCUGUGGCUUAUUCCCUGGAUUCUGCUUCCCCCUUGGUUUAUCUACAAAUCAAGACUACUCUGAGACUUCCCUGACGACCCCAACGUGAAGACCGGCUUGCGAGCAUCGAUUCGUCGCCGACUGCACUGGGUCAAGACCCUGAGUUGUUCAAGACCUCCAAUAAGACCUCUGGUUGGCUCUUGAGCUCUGUUUGGUAACAACUGACUGCAUACUGAGAUUCCGGUUCCAUUACGGUUGCAAGGCUCGCUUGACUCUAGGCUUGCAGCAGCCGCAUUGUACCUAAUGUUUGGGAGAAGGCAGCUGAGUGAGACAGCUCCCAAAGCGCCCGUUGCUCGGACUCGUACCCCGGCUUGACACACGUGUCGUUGCCCGCAGGGAGUCCGCUUUGGCGCAUUCUCCAACAGGUCCUGCGCGACCUCGGCCCUCACGGCCCGGCGCCAGCGCCUUUAUACAUAUCCUGACCGCCAACGACGAUUCAGUGGAGUAACAAGGCCUUCAAGACCUGGUUUAUUGGGUGUACCGUCUGACAUCAACGGCGGGCAUCACCAACGUAUUCAAGUUCAAGCGCAUCCCCCCCUUGCAACGCACGAAACAGCCGCAGGCGUCGUCAUACGACUGUUGCUGGGAGAAGCUCCGUUGUAGUCGGCCCCAACACAUCGCGCUGCAAAAGGUGUCCGCCCAGCAGGACGUG